CAGUCGCCGCGGUAAUACGAAGGGGGCUAGCGUUGCUCGGAAUUACUGGGCGUAAAGGGAGCGUAGGCGGAUCGUUAAGUUGGGGGUGAAAGCCCGGGGCUCAACCUCGGAAUUGCCUUCAAUACUGGCGAUCUUGAGUAUGGAAGAGGUAUGUGGAACUCCGAGUGUAGAGGUGAAAUUCGUAGAUAUUCGGAAGAACACCAGUGGCGAAGGCGACAUACUGGUCCAUUACUGACGCUGAGGCUCGAAAGCGUGGGGAGCAAACAGGAUUAGAUACCCCAGUAGUCCCUGUCUCUUAUAC
rnacentral:rRNA from 1 species